ACAGCAGGCCGUCUUAUCGCUGCUCUUUCGGGAGGAGAGGAAAGUCCGGGCAACGCAGAGCAUCCUACUUCCUAACGGGAAGGGGCUGUUUUGGCGACGAAACAGCUACAGCUAGUGCCACAGAAAAUUACCGCCACUUGCAAAAGUGGUAAGGGUGAAAAGGUGCGGUAAGAGCGCACCAGUGGGCGGGUGACCGUUCCAGCUGGGUAAACCUUAGGAGUUGAAAGACCAAAUAGGCUGUCAGCGCCUUGCUUCGGCAGGGCUAAGGGCUGCUCGUCCGAUGUCAGUGGGUAGGUCGAUGGAGCCUGUGCGUGAGUGCAGGCCUAGAUAAAUGAUAAGACGUGUAGCUUCGGCUAUGCGACAGAACCCGGCUUACAGGCUUGCUGCUAAU
rnacentral:RNase_P_RNA from 1 species